GUUGCACAAGUAUGAAUAGAUCACGUUACAAUAGGAAAUAAGACUUAGAACAUAAGAGUGAUUGACAAGGCAUGGGAUUAGAAUUUUCCCUGGAGCUGGUGGAACAGAAUCCCAGAGAAACAGUUAAGUAACUGACACAAUCUCUCUGGACCUGGAUGAAGGAGGAGGCAGAUGUAUUUUUUUGGAGCAGCUUGAGAAACCAUCAUUAAAAUUACAAGCCUGGGAAUGUCUUUGGCUGUGGAAAAGAAGGCAGUCUUCAUUCUUCUGCUGGACAGAUAGAAGAAGCUGACCAACCUGAGAACAAACCACCUUUGGAUAUUUCUCUUGGAAUUUUGGACCUUGCCCACCAAAAGACCCUUUAGCCCUGGAGGACAGAAGUAGGAGCAGUAGGAAGAAAUUACAGAAGAACACAGGGUAAAAAUGAGUAAGAACUAUCAAACAACUGAUCUGACCAAAAGUGUUAUAUGGUCCCUUGAGAAGUCAUGAGUUCUACACCACUGGAAAUUUCUAAGCAGAGGAUGAAAGAUUACUAAUUAAGUAUAUUAUAGAAGGGUUUCCUGCCUAAAUAUGAAGAGAACAAUAUGGCCUCUGAGUUCCCUCCCAGUGCUAAGAUUCUAUAAUUGAUGAUCCCAUAGUUACAAUAAAUAUGUAGAAGUUUUCUGUCA